GCGGCUUGCCUAACACAUGCAAGUCGAACGGGAAUCUUCGGAUUCUAGUGGCGGACGGGUGAGUAACGCGUAAGAAUCUAACUUCAGGACGGGGACAACAGUGGGAAACGACUGCUAAUACCCGAUGUGCCGCGAGGUGAAACCUAAUUGGCCUGAAGAAGAGCUUGCGUCUGAUUAGCUAGUUGGUGGGGUAAGAGCCUACCAAGGCGACGAUCAGUAGCUGGUCUGAGAGGAUGAGCAGCCACACUGGGACUGAGACACGGCCCAGACUCCUACGGGAGGCAGCAGUGGGGAAUUUUCCGCAAUGGGCGAAAGCCUGACGGAGCAACGCCGCGUGAGGGAGGAAGGUCUUUGGAUUGUAAACCUCUUUUCUCAAGGAAGAAGUUCUGACGGUACUUGAGGAAUCAGCCUCGGCUAACUCCGUGCCAGCAGCCGCGGUAAUACGGGGGAGGCAAGCGUUAUCCGGAAUUAUUGGGCGUAAAGCGUCCCCAGGUGGUCAACCAAGUCCCCCGUCAAAUCAGGUUGCUUAACGACCUAAAGGCGGUGGAAACUGGCAGACUAAAGAACAGUAGGGGUAGCAGGAAUUUCCAGUGUAGCGGUGAAAUGCGUAGAGAUUGGGAAGAAUAUCGGUGGCGAAAGCGUGCUACUGGGCUGUAUCUGACACUUAAGGACGAAAGCUAGGGGAGCGAAAGGGAUUAAAUACCCCUGUAGUCCUAGCCGUAAACGAUGGAUACUAGGCGUGGCUUGUAUUACCCCAACCGUGCCCAAACUUACGCGUUAUU
rnacentral:rRNA from 1 species